rnacentral:rRNA from 1 species
GUCCACGCCCUAAACGAUGUCUACUAGUUGUCGGGUCUUAAUUGACUUGGUAACGCAGCUAACGCGUGAAGUAGACCGCCUGGGGAGUACGGUCGCAAGAUUAAAACUCAAAGGAAUUGACGGGGACCCCGCACAAGCGGUGGAUGAUGUGGAUUAAUUCGAUGCAACGCGAAAACCUUACCUACCCUUGACAUGGAUGGAAUCUCCGAGAGAUUGGAGAGUGCCCGAAAGGGAACCAUUACACAGGUGCUGCAUGGCUGUCGU